rnacentral:rRNA from 1 species
CCUACGGGUGGCUGCAGUGGGGAAUUUUCCGCAAUGGGCGCAAGCCUGACGGAGCAAUACCGCGUGCGGGAGGACGGCUUUUGGGUUGUAAACCGCUUUUAUUGGGGAAGAAGGUCUGACGGUACCCAAUGAAUCAGCAUCGGCUAACUCCGUGCCAGCAGCCGCGGUAAUACGGAGGAUGCAAGCGUUAUCCGGAAUUAUUGGGCGUAAAGCGUCCGCAGGUGGUUGAGCCAGUCUGCUGUCAAAGCGUGGAGCUUAACUCCAUACCGGCAGUG